AAAUUGAAGAGUUUGAUCAUGGCUCAGAUUGAACGCUGGCGGCAGGCCUAACACAUGCAAGUCGAACGGUAACAGGAAGCAGCUUGCUGCUUCGCUGACGAGUGGCGGACGGGUGAGUAAUGUCUGGGAAACUGCCUGAUGGAGGGGGAUAACUACUGGAAACGGUAGCUAAUACCGCAUAACGUCGCAAGACCAAAGAGGGGGACCUUCGGGCCUCUUGCCAUCGGAUGUGCCCAGAUGGGAUUAGCUUGUUGGUGGGGUAACGGCUCACCAAGGCGACGAUCCCUAGCUGGU
rnacentral:rRNA from 1 species